GGAGAGGUGCCAGAGCUGGUUGAUCGGGACACUCUCGAAAAGUGUUGUGCUGGAAACAGUACCGUGGGUUCGAAUCCCACCCUCUCCGCCA
rnacentral:tRNA from 1 species